UACGAAGGGGGCUAGCGUUGUUCGGAUUUACUGGGCGUAAAGCGCACGUAGGCGGAUCGUUAAGUCGGGGGUGAAAUCCUGGAGCUCAACUCCAGAACUGCCUUCGAUACUGGCGAUCUUGAGUCCGGAAGAGGUGAGUGGAACUCCUAGUGUAGAGGUGGAAUUCGUAGAUAUUAGGAAGAACACCAGUGGCGAAGGCGCUCACUGGUCCGGUACUGACGCUGAGGCG
rnacentral:rRNA from 1 species